rnacentral:rRNA from 1 species
AUUGAACGCUGGCGGCAUGCUUUACACAUGCAAGUCGAACGGUAACAGGCCUUCGGGUGCUGACGAGUGGCGAACGGGUGAGUAAUGCAUCGGAACGUACCCAGAGGUGGGGGAUAACGCAGCGAAAGCUGUGCUAAUACCGCAUGUGAUCUGAGGAUGAAAGCGGGGGACCGAGCAGCAAUGUUUGGCCUCGCGCCUUUGGAGCGGCCGAUGUCGGAUUAGCUAGUUGGUGGGGUAAAGGCCUACCAAGGCGACGAUCCGUAGCUGGUCUGAGAGGACGACCAGCCACACGGGAACUGAGACACGGCCCAGACUCCUACGGGAGGCAGCAGUGGGGAAUGGUGGACAAUGGGCGGAAGCCUGAUCCAGCAAUGCCGCGUGCGGGAAGAAGGCCUUCGGGUUGUAAACCGCGUUUGGCAGGAACGAAACGGUGUCCGCUAAUACCGGGCGCUAAUGACGGUACCUGCAGAAUAAGCACCGGCUAACUACGUG